CGUUUCCCAAAAGCAUCGUUAGCUAACUAUGGUCGCAAGUUCUAUUGAACUCUAUUGCUAACGACGGAACGUGCGAACAUAUCAGCUUCUGGUGAACGCUUCUUUUAAAGACUAGUUUUGUGAACCGAUUCAUCACAAAGAUCCGACUCAAAAGCAUGAUUCGAUGCCGAAUCGUACGUCGCUACUAGGUAGGCUGCUCGCUGUGUUUUGAAACGCAGCCGGUGUCUGAGCAUGUGCUGUUACUACUGCAGUAGAGUAAAAUAUGUCAGUUAUCACCGGACAGCGGCGAGAGGACAGAGAGAGCCGGCUACAAAUGUACUCUGAGGGGCAACCGGUGCAACGAGUUUCUGUUUAACACCAAAAUGAGCCCCGGCUCCUCUACAUCUACAGCAGCGGAAGAAUAAUACGUACACGAGUACCACAUUGGCAUCGGCAGCAAAGCUCAGAAGUACCGCUCUCUUUGGACCCUGACAGACAGUGUGAAGUGUGGACCGUGAGACUGCCAGACAGCAGGUUGGUUAAAUCUGCAAAUAUUACUGUUUUUCAUA
ensembl:lncRNA